GCAGUGGUGGUUCAGUGGUAGAAUUCUCACCUUCCACACAGGAGUCAGGGGUUCAAUUCCCAGCCAAUGCA
rnacentral:tRNA from 1 species